UGUGUGCGUUGUCGGAGUGUGGCGUUCGUUCAGACAUCAAGCCCACCCGAGAGCGGGGACGUGGAAAUGACUUUGGGGAGAAGUCCCCAAGGGCCUGGAUCCCGUUAUCCCUAGAAGGGAGAGAGGCUGGAGCUCCCUCUUGGUUUCUCUUGAUCUCCCACAUCCCUUCCUCCCUUCCUGGUCAGUAAGUUCCAUGGGGGCAGAACCCCUGGAUAGGAAGCCCUAGCUCUGCCAUCCACUAGCCUGCAGUCUUCAGUAAACUGCACAUCCUCUCUGGGCCUUUUUACAUAGUGGACUUCUAGACACCUUGGCAGAGGGUGGGGAAGAUACCUUGGCCUUUGGAGUCCUUCUGAUACCUUACAAGCCACAUUGAUCAGGCAGUCCCUACUUCUGGAAUAAGGCUUGGCCCGGUAGGAACUACAUUUGUCACUGAGGUCCUUGCUCUGCUAUUUUGAAUAGAGAAGUCCUUGAGUCUCAGGCCAGGAGAUGUGGCCAGAAAGGGCUACUUUCAUAGUUGGGCCAUCCUGCAAACACUGUUUUCAAGGGUCUGCAAUCUGAAAAACUGUGGCCAAGGAAGCAGGGCUUCCCUGGUGGCACAGUGGUUGAGAAUCUGCCUGCCAAUGCAGGGGACACGGGUUCGAGCCUUGGUCUGGGAAGAUCCCACAUGCCACGGAGCAAGUAGGCCCGUGAGCCACAACUACUGAGCCUGCGCGUCUGGAGCCUGUGCUCCCAACAAGAAAGGCCACAAUAGUGAGAGGCCCACGCACCACGAUGAAGAGUGGCCCCCGCUUGCCGCAACUAGAGAAAGCCCUCGCACAGAAACAAAGACCCAACACAGCCAAAAAUAAAUAAAUACAUUAAUUAAUUAAAACUGUC